AUUGAACGCUGGCGGCAGGCCUAACACAUGCAAGUCGAAUGGUAACAGGAAACAGCUUGCUGUUUCGCUGACGAGUGGCGGACGGGUGAGUAAUGUCUGGGAAACUGCCUGAUGGAGGGGGAUAACUACUGGAAACGGUAGCUAAUACCGCAUAACGUCGCAAGACCAAAGAGGGGGACCUUCGGGCCUCUUGCCAUAAGAUGUGCCCAGGUGGGAUUAGCUAGUAGGUGGGGUAACGGCUCACCUAGGCGACGAUCCCUAGCUGGUCUGAGAGGAUGACCAGCCACACUGGAACUGAGACACGGUCCAGACUCCUACGGGAGGCAGCAGUGGGGAAUAUUGGACAAUGGGCGCAAGCCUGAUGCAGCCAUGCCGCGUGUAUGAAGAAGGCCUUCGGGUUGUAAAGUACUUUCAGCGGGGAGGAAGGGAGUAAAGUUAAUACCUUUGCUCAUUGACGUUACCCGCAGAAGAAGCACCGGCUAACUCCGUG
rnacentral:rRNA from 1 species